AACGAACGCUGGCGGCAGGCUUAACACAUGCAAGUCGAGCGCCCCGCAAGGGGAGCGGCAGACGGGUGAGUAACGCGUGGGAAUCUACCCAUCUCUACGGAAUAACGCAUGGAAACGUGUGCUAAUACCGUAUACGUCCUUCGGGAGAAAGAUUUAUCGGAGAUGGAUGAGCCCGCGUUGGAUUAGCUAGUUGGUGGGGUAAAGGCCUACCAAGGCGACGAUCGAUAGCUGGUCUGAGAGGAUGAACAGCCACACUGGGACUGAGACACGGCCCAGACUCCUACGGGAGGCAGCAGUGGGGAAUAUUGGACAAUGGGCGCAAGCCUGAUCCAGCCAUGCCGCGUGAGUGAUGAAGGCUCUAGGGUUGUAAAGCUCUUUCACCGGUGAAGAUAAUGACGGUAACCGGAGAAGAAGCCCCGGCUAACUUCGUGCCAGCCGCCGCAGUAACAC
rnacentral:rRNA from 1 species